GAUCUUUAUUUUUAUUUUUUAUAAAUUAAAAAGAAAUUAAAAAUUUAUAUUAAAAUUAAAAAUUUUAUUGGGGUGAUAUUAAAAUUUAAAUAACUUUUAUUAUUAAUUACAUAAAUAUAUGAAUUAUUGAUCCAAUUUUAUUGAUUAAAAAAUUAAGUUACCUUAGGGAUAACAGCGUAAUUUUUUUUUAGAGUUCAUAUCGACAAAAAAGAUUGC
rnacentral:rRNA from 1 species